CUCGUGGCACUUGGCUUCUGUAUUCUGCUCGUAAGCAUCCCCGCGUAUUUGCUUUGCUCUGUCUGUCUUUUUCCUCCCUGUUCCCCUCUCCAUACAUCAGUGUCGGGGAGUUCAGACAUCACAAGGGCCUGUGUUUUUUUUUUAUUAUUAUUGUAGCGCCUAAUGUGGAAUUUAGAAUGAGCAACACUCUUUCCUGUCGGUACUUGGAAACUCUUUUGUGUUACGUCCGUCCUUUCUCUGAAGUAAUCGCCCAACUAUUCCUAGCAAUAAAAUGUUCCUCUCUAGCCCCAUCAGAUACGUUAGAAAGAUUAGUGAAAGAUCUGAAGGCCCAGUUCGGCUGAGUUAAACAAAACUUCCACAGGCUUUAAAUGUACUCCUUUUAUUUUACUGCAGAUACUGCCUGAGGACAUAGUAUAGGAAAAAGGCACCCGGAUACUGCCUGAUAGAAGCAAGCAAUGCACUUUAUAGCCAGGCUGCGUGUUGUCUAAACGAUGUAACUUGUACAAGUGGCGUGCCAAGGGAAAGGGACAGAGGGAACAGGAGCUGUGCUUCUCUAUAUCCACUCUAUUUUUUAUUGCCUUUAAAAUUACUACACUGAAGAUUUGUCCAAAAUUUGUUACAGUGCUGGAAACUGGACUUGUCUCUCCUGUCAGCUGGAGCUGCAGUGACGUUCUUGUAUGACCACAGCUCAGAAGAUACACCAUUUCCAAAUGACUACGGAGAUUACAAUGGCAAACAAAGGAAUAUGAGGAACAAUAAUCUGUGCCGAAAAGCGCCGUUCUCUCAGUGACAGCCCAUUGCUGAUGGCAGCAGCAGGGCACAUCUAUGCCUUGGGUAACACUCCUGCUGGGGACACGGGGCCCACCACAGGAGGGAAGCUGAAGCACCCACAAAUCCUCCACUUUGAAGGAACUGGACAACCACUUACUGCCUUUGGAAAACCAGAGAAGCGGGAAGUGGAACGACUUCUGCGGGCUGGUGGAAGAUAAAGGGAAGGUUUUUCUGCAGGAAUGUGUUCUUCAGUGACAGAAUGGACCAAAAGUCAUCUGUGCAGCCCUCAGAGUUGUCUGUCCGUCCUUG
rnacentral:lncRNA from 1 species